CAGUCGCUUAUACUCUGCCAC
rnacentral:miRNA from 1 species